rnacentral:rRNA from 1 species
AUGAACGCUAGCGGUGCGCUUAACACAUGCAAGUCGAGCGGGGUUAAGGGGCUUGCUCCUUAACCUAGCGGCGAACGGGCGAGUAUAAAGUUCGUACCUUCCCCAGAGUCAGGGAUAACGCGCCGAAAGGCGCGCUAAUACCGGAUGGUCCCGCGAGGGUAAAGCCGCAAGGCGCUCUGGGAGGGGCGUGCUCCCUAUCAGCUAGUUGGCGGGGUAAUUGCCCACCAAGGCUAUGACGGGUAGUUGGUCUGAGAGGACGGCCAGCCGCAAUGGGACUGAGACACGGCCCAUACUCCUACGGGAGGCAGCAGUGAGGAAUCUUCCGCAAUGGGCGAAAGCCUGACGGAGCGACACCGCGUGGAGGAUGACGCGUUUAUUCGUGUAAACUCCUUUUCUAUGGGAAGAUGAUGACGGUACCAUAGGAAUAAGGGACGGCUAACUACGUGCCAGCAGCCGCGGUAAUACGUAGGUCCCGAGCGUUAUCCGGAAUUACUGGGCGUAAAGAGUUCGUAGGCGGUCCGUUAAGUUCGGCAUCAAAGACCGGGGCUCAACCCCGAGUUUGUGCCGGAUACUGGCGGACUCGAAUCCGGGAGAGGUUGGCAGAAUGGUACGAGUAGGGGUGCAAUCCGUUGAUACGUACUGGAAUACCGAAAGCGAAGGCAGCCAACUGGAACGGUAUUGACGCUGAGGAACGAAAGCGUGGGGAGCGAAAAGGAUUAGAUACCCUUGUAGUCCACGCCCUAAACGAUGGAUGCUGAGUGUCGGGGCUUGUCCCCGGUGCUUCGAAGCUAACGCAUUAAGCAUCCCGCCUGAGGAGUACGGUCGCAAGAUUAAAACUCAAAUGAAUAGACGGGGACCCGCACAAGCAGAGGAUCAUGCGGUUUAAUUCGACAAUAAACGAGAAACCUCACCCAGGCUUGACGUCCCGAGAACCUUCCGGAAACGGAGGGGUGCCCGCAAGGGAGCUCGGAGACAGGCGCUGCAUGGUUGUCGUCAGCUCGUGCCUUGAGGUGUUCGGUUAAGUCCGUUAACGAGCGCAACCCACGCCGUAAGUUACUAUGUCUUACGGGACUGCCCGGGUCAACCGGGAGGAAGGUGUGGAUGACGUCAAAUCAGCAUGGCCCUUAUGCCUGGGGCCACACGCAUGAUACAAUGGUCGGUACAAUGUGCAGCGAAGCCGCGAGGCGGAGCCAAUCACCAAAGCCGAUCCCAGUCCGGAUCGGGGUCUGCAACUCGACCCCGUGAAGUUGGAUUUGCUAGUAAUCGUGAAUCAGCUAUGUCACGGUGAAUACGUUCCCGGGUCUUGUACUCACCGCCCGUCAAAGCAUGGGAGGAGUUCUUGCUGGAAGCCCGCGGGGGAAUACCGCGGUCCAUGGCAAGGGUUCUGACUGGGCUU